AGACUGAUUCAAAGAUUAACAUUAUAGUUCAUCUCAAACUGUUUUAUUCCUUUUUUUGGAUUAGCACCCAGAAAGAAAGAAAAGAAGAAUAGAGAAGAAAGGAAAGGAAGAGAAAAAUAGUGGCGAGAAUCAGGAUCAGUUUCAAUGAAGUGAAAUGGUGGAAAUCAAACUGAAGUAACACAGACAUAGAAAUCAGUGGUAUAAGGCAAGUGAUUCAUUUUGUGGGGAAAAAAUGCUUGUUUUCUUAAGGCAUGUGUACUGGUU